AUGUGGUGGACUUGCACAGAAGCUAAAAGUCGUUUGCAGAUUCUUAUGGGAUAUGGCAACAAUAAAGCUACAGAUUCUCCACAGGAGAAACGAGCGAGAGGGCAAGUUGUAAAGUUUGCAGCAUAACAAGAUGACCUUGGAUAAGACACAAACUUCUCUCCUUUUAUAAUGUAACAAGAAUUCAGCAAUCUCAAUGAGCAUGAGGUGGUAUGUCAGUGUCACUUUUACUUUCCACGUUAUGGGAGAAAGUCUGACACACUCUUACUAUUAUGCUGUAAUUUUGCAUAAGUAUAUAAUAAUAAAUGUACAGCUUUUACUUAAAACAUAAUAGGAUAGCCUUGAAUGAGUCAGCACAGUCAUUUACCUAUAAAUGUAAAAAUACUGCCUUGCCUAUAUUCUUUUGUGUUUUAAUUGUGUUUUUCACUUCCUUUGUACUUUACAUUCAGUUAAAUGAGCUUGUAGGUGUGCUGUUGCUUAGAAUUAGGUCCUUUAAUAGAAGGACAUUCAUUUCCUGUGCUUCAGUAUUAGCAACUGUGUCCAUAAAUACCUAGAUUCUCCAGCUGAUGGCACAGGAGGGUCCAGGAAUGGAUUGUUCAAUCCUUAUUUGCCCAAGAGACUGAGUCAGAAUUGAAGCCACGCCUCCAGGUUCUCCUGCUGAUAUCCAAUUCCGAGUCAGUCUUGCCUGAAAAGAAAUGUAAUUUUUUUUUGCUGUUAGUGAAAAUUGGUUUCUUUCUCAGAAUUGUUUUUUAUUUAUUUCGCUUAUCUUUAAUGUUAUUAAGCGGAAGGAAGGUGUUUGAACUUGGACUUGAACUUGCUUGUGUUAGGAAACUGAAUUGUGUGGGUUGGAUCCUCCUGGAGGUUCUCAGGUUCCUCGCAAGUAAGCAGCCGGCUGUGCCGGCCAUCGGAGUCUAUUGCGGCUCCGUUCGGCUUGAUUCCGAUUACUGGCUCGUAAGAGGCCAGGGAGGCUUCUCUGCAUUGCCCCUGGUUCUCAGGGGCUGCAGCGGGUGGACAUUGAGGCUGCUGGUGUGGAGAGCGCGUUUGUGGCACACCGGCAUUCCCGUGUAGCCAGAGAGACGACAAGAGGGUGCGUGGCACUGACUGGAAUUACAGGAGAGCUGCACGGCUGACUGGACGUUCUCGGGGCCGUUUGCUCACCAGCACUGCUAGUUUUCCCCGAAGGCUUCUCCCUUGUGAGUAUGGGUCCCUGGGGUGGCCAUUUUUGGGGGGAGACUUUAUUGGGCAGCGGCCAUCUUGGGGAGGCCCUCGUGGCAGUGGCCAUUUUGCUUGAGCAUUUGGUGGGUCACAUGGUCGGUGGCCAUUUUGUUUCCCUUUUUUCAUUACCACGAGGCUCAUUCCGAGUGCCUGCUCCAGUGAGAACAGUCGCAGAUUACUGUGCUGGUUCCUGAACUGGGUAGAGUGUUCCUUGCUAUUUAAAGUCAGAGCACUGCAGCCGCUGAGAUGGAGGAGGACAAACAGAAGGAGAAGGAGGCCGGGACCGAAGCUUCAACUUCUAAGGCAGCGCCAAAGAAAAAGUGAUUCUUUGUGGAACCCACAGUGUGGAAAGAGGAGAUCCCUGCACUGAAACUGUUUCUGGAUGUCAUCCAGAAGCAGUGGGCCAAGCCAGGUACUUUUCCCACCCCAGGUGGGAGUGACAGACGGUUCUAUAAUAUGGAGCCUGAUUUCUCCCAGGCACUACAGGUUCCUGAGGUGGACGCUCCUGUAGCCGCCCUGGCUUCUCCAACGCCCAUGGUGGCGAGUGAUGUGGCCGACAACUUAAAGACAGAAGAUAAGAGGACUGAACUGGUGUUGCAUAAUACCUUCCUGGCAGCAACAUGGGCAAUUAAGGCCGCUUCCUCUGCCUCCUUCAAUUGUGCCAUGCUUUUGUGACUUGAGCAAAUGCAGGAGCGUGUCCCAGUGCACGAUGUGAGGCUGCUUCAGGACAUCAGCAAGGUCAUGGCUGCGACUCAGUUUUCAGCGGAUGCGACUUUGAACGCUGCUAAGUUUGCCUCGAGGGCUCUUUCUUCCUCUGUUUCAGCUAGGCAGAUGGUGUGGCUUCGAAACGGGCAGGCAGAGGCCAAAGCAAAGUGAAAGCUGACGACCGGCCCAUAUGUGGGGAAAAAGCUAUUUGGCGAGGUUUUGGACCCAAUCCUAAUUGAGGUUGGAGCUGUGCUUCGUCAGAAUUGGAUAUCAGCAGGGGAAGCUGGAGGCGUGGCUUCAAUUCUGACUCGAUCUAAUGGGCAAAUAAGGAUUGAACAACCCAUUCCUGGACUGUCCUGUGCCACGCUGAGAAGAACGUUCAGGCAAUUAUCAUCUCCCAAGCAGCUUACAACAACUUAAAAAUAGAGUCAAUCUCUGAUCCUAGUUCACAAUCUGAGAAGACAAGGCUUCACACAAAAGAGGGGAGCGAAAGCGCUGUUUAUUUGUUUAUUUAUAAUGG